ACUCUGCUGAAGGAACUAGGCAAAAUGGUACCGUAACUUCGGGAGAAGGUACGCUGUUGUCUGUGAUAGGACUUGCUCCUUGAGCGGCCGACAGCCUCAGAAACCAGGCCCCUGCAACUGUUUAUUAAAAACAUAGCACUCUGCAAACACGAAAGUGGACGUAUAGGGUGUGAUGCCUGCCCGGUGCUGGAAGGUUAAUUGAUGGGGUUAGCGUAAGCGAAGCUCUUGAUCGAAGCCCCAGUAAACGGCGGCCGUAACAAUAACGGUCCUAAGGUAGCGAAAUUCCUUGUCGGGUAAGUUCCGACCUGCACGAAUGGCAUAAUGAUGGGGGCGCUGUCUCCAGCAGAGACUCAGUGAAAUCGAAUUCGCCGUGAAGAUGCGGUGUACCCGCGGCUAGACGGAAAGACCCCGUGAACCUUUACUGCAGCUUGACAUUGAACUUUGAUCUUACUUGUGUAGGAUAGGUGGGAGGCUUUGAAGUCGCGACGCUAGUUGCGAUGGAGCCGUCCUUGAAAUACCACCCUGGUAAUAUUGAGGUUCUAACUCUGUCCCGUUAUCCGGGACGAGGACCAUGUCUGGUGGGUAGUUUGACUGGGGCGGUCUCCUCCUAAAGAGUAACGGAGGAGUACGAAGGUGCGCUCAGCGUGGUCGGAAAUCACGCGUAGAGUAUAAAGGCAAAAGCGCGCUUAACUGCGAGACCCACAAGUCGAGCAGGUACGAAAGUAGGUCUUAGUGAUCCGGUGGUUCUGUAUGGAAGGGCCAUCGCUCAACGGAUAAAAGGUACUCCGGGGAUAACAGGCUGAUACCGCCCAAGAGUUCAUAUCGACGGCGGUGUUUGGCACCUCGAUGUCGGCUCAUCACAUCCUGGGGCUGAAGCCGGUCCCAAGGGUAUGGCUGUUCGCCAUUUAAAGUGGUACGCGAGCUGGGUUUAGAACGUCGUGAGACAGUUCGGUCCCUAUCUGCCGUGGACGUUUGAGAUUUGAGAGGGGCUGCUCCUAGUACGAGAGGACCGGAGUGGACGAACCUCUGGUGUUCCGGUUGUCACGCCAGUGGCAUUGCCGGGUAGCUAUGUUCGGAAUAGAUAACCGCUGAAAGCAUCUAAGCGGGAAACUUGCCUCAAGAUGAGAUCUCACUGGAACCUUGAGUUCCCUGAAGGGCCGUCGAAGACUACGACGUUGAUAGGUUGGGUGUGUAAGCGCUGUGAGGCGUUGAGCUAACCAAUACUAAUUGCCCGUGAGGCUUGACCA
rnacentral:rRNA from 1 species